AUUGAACGCUGGCGGCAGGCCUAACACAUGCAAGUCGAACGGAGCGGCAGUCGGGUGAGUAAUGCCAAGGAAUCUGACUGGUAGUGGGGGAUAACGUCCGGAAACGGGCGCUAAUACCGCAUACUAUUAGAUGAGCCUCGGUCGGAUUAGCUAGUUGGGGGGGUAAAGGACUAACAGGGCGACGAUCCGUAACGGGUCUGAGAGGAGUAUGAGUCACCAUGGAACGGGAACACGGUCCAGACUACUACGGGAGGCAGCAGUGGGGAAUAUUUGACAAUGGGCGAAAGCCUGAUCCAGCCAUGCCGCGUGUGUGAAGAAGGUCUUCGGAUGGUAAAGCACGUUAAGUUGUGAGGCGUUACCAACAGAAUAAGCACCGGCUAACUUCGUGCCAGCAGCCGCGGUAAUUC
rnacentral:rRNA from 1 species